GAACUGAACAUACAGCCAAAGACGGCCUAGAAUUCCUGAUUCUCUGCUCCCAUCUCCCGGGGGAUUACAGGGUCUCCUGUGGCUCAGGCCAGCCUCAGAACUCACUGUGUAGCUGACUGUGGCCUCCCUCGGCUGCCUGAUCCAUUUGCCUUGACUUGGAUUGCAGUCAUGUGAUAACACACCUGGCUCGUUCUGUGUCAGGAAGCGUCCACACAACGCUGCCAGUGGAUACUUAUGUGAGGAGAGACGGAACAACCCUGGUCGCAUCCCACUGGCCUGGCCCUGCCCAUGCUGUCUUCUGUCCUAGCGGAGGCUGAUGGUGAGGAGGGCAUGGUGGGAGGCUGUGUUACCUCUGGCAAUGGCCAUGGUGGCAGGUGCAGUUGUCCUGGGCAGGGACACAGCCAGGACUUCCAUCAGGGCAGAGGCAGUGGGCUCUGUCUUCCUGAUCUUGGCAUUGCUGCCCAGGUUGGCACAGGUUCGGGGUGCACAGGGGAACUUCACAGAGCUGGCCUGUGUGGGUGGGUGGGAGAAGUGAGUUUGAGAGGAAAGGAGCCCUGUACGUCCUGAAGGGUCAAAGGCCGGUGGGCGUGGCUUCCUCACUCUCUGUGCACCUGUCCUUUCUUGUUCUCUGUUGACUUCUUCGGGACUCCAGCUGUCUUCCCUACUCCUUGCCCUGUUCCUUCCUGAGCUCUGGGUCUCCUGUAGCUCCCCGAGUGGAGCUUCUUCCCCCCUAGCCCGCUCUCUCCUUCAGCACACGGCCUGGCUUUCUGUUUUGACCUGCUCUGCUCUCAAGGGCACUUCCUGCUCAAAGCCUUUUCAU